rnacentral:rRNA from 1 species
AUUGAACGCUGGCGGAAUGCUUUACACAUGCAAGUCGAGCGGCAGCGCGGGGGCAACCCUGGCGGCGAGCGGCGAACGGGUGAGUAAUGUAUCGGAACGUACCCAGUCGUGGGGGAUAACUAUCCGAAAGGAUAGCUAAUACCGCAUACGACCUGAGGGUGAAAGCGGGGGACCGCAAGGCCUCGCGCGAUUGGAGCGGCCGAUAUCGGAUUAGCUAGUUGGUGAGGUAAAGGCUCACCAAGGCGACGAUCCGUAGCUGGUCUGAGAGGACGGCCAGCCACACUGGAACUGAGACACGGUCCAGACUCCUACGGGAGGCAGCAGUGGGGAAUUUUGGACAAUGGGGGCAACCCUGAUCCAGCCAUUCCGCGUGAGUGAAGAAGGCCUUCGGGUUGUAAAGCUCUUUCAGCAGGAACGAAACGGCUCUCUCUAACAUAGGGAGUUAAUGACGGUACCUGAAGAAGAAGCACCGGCUAACUACGUG